CCUACGGGUGGCAGCAGUGGGGAAUAUUGGACAAUGGGCGAAAGCCUGAUCCAGCCAUGCCGCGUGUGUGAAGAAGGCCUUCGGGUUGUAAAGCACUUUCAGUGGGGAAGAAAGCCUUGGGGCUAAUACCCUCGAGGAAGGACAUCACCCACAGAAGAAGCACCGGCUAACUCCGUGCCAGCAGCCGCGGUAAUACGGAGGGUGCGAGCGUUAAUCGGAAUUACUGGGCGUAAAGCGCGCGUAGGCGGUCUGAUAAGCCGGUUGUGAAAGCCCCGGGCUCAACCUGGGAACGGCAUCCGGAACUGGCAGGCUAGAGUGCAGGAGAGGAAGGUAGAAUUCCCGGUGUAGCGGUGAAAUGCGUAGAGAUCGGGAGGAAUACCAGUGGCGAAGGCGGCCUUCUGGACUGACACUGACGCUGAGGUGCGAAAGCGUGGGUAGCAAACAGGAUUAGAUACCCCAGUAGUC
rnacentral:rRNA from 1 species